GAUGAACGCUGGCGGCGUGCCUAAUACAUGCAAGUCGAGCGAACAGACGAGGAGCUUGCUCCUCUGACGUUAGCGGCGGACGGGUGAGUAACACGUGGAUAACCUACCUAUAAGACUGGGAUAACUUCGGGAAACCGGAGCUAAUACCGGAUAAUAUAUUGAACCGCAUGGUUCAAUAGUGAAAGACGGUUUUGCUGUCACUUAUAGAUGGAUCCGCGCCGCAUUAGCCAGUUGGUAAGGUAACGCCUUACCAAGGCAACGAUGCGUAGCCGACCUGAGAGGGUGAUCGGCCACACUGGAACUGAGACACGGUCCAGACUCCUACGGGAGGCAGCAGUAGGGAAUCUUCCGCAAUGGGCGAAAGCCUGACGGAGCAACGCCGCGUGAGUGAUGAAGGUCUUCGGAUCGUAAAACUCUGUUAUUAGGGAAGAACAAAUGUGUAAGUAACUAUGCACGUCUUGACGGUACCUAAUCAGAAAGCCACGGCUAACUACGUG
rnacentral:rRNA from 1 species